rnacentral:tRNA from 1 species
GAAUUAGUACUUUAAGUAAAAGGUCAGGCUUGCAUCUUGAAAUUGGCACAUUUGCCCUAAUUCG